CUUCCCCCUCCGCUCCCGGACACAGUUAGUUCGCCUGAGCUGGCAGUAGCACCCCUAUCUCUGUCCUCAGCGCGCCCCUGCGCGCACUGCCUGCAGCCGCCGCUCGACCUUGCUCUUCACUCCGCUCAGCGCCUUCCGCGCAGGCGUCAGCCAUCCUCGAGCCGCGGCUCGCGACUGGAACACACCACCGCCGUCGCGCGAAGCGACCAGCGCGCAGCAAACAGACAAUCGGAACGCCCCUCAGCUCUUACUUUCAGCCAAUGGGAACGAUUAGUUGAAGAGAGGCGGGCUGAUGAGCACGCAGGCGCGGCUGUUAAUGAAACCGCCCCUUUUGCUGCUGCCGUCAACUCACCGAAGCACACCUGAAGGACAGGCACCGAUGCUGCUCCCCCAAUAUAAAGGCACAAAGAAGACUGCACUCGCUACAACAGACUGAAAUGCCAACAGCAGCUCUGAGAACCUCAUCCCUGGAGAGGAAGGAUCUUCAGAAAUGGCCUACACCUAGGGACAGCCAGGACAGAAGUCUCUGACAUCCAUGAAACAAGAACCCCAUAGAAUGAAUGAUAAAAAUAUUGCAGCACCUGAAGACCCCUCCCUCCAUUCACACAAGCUUUUAUCUCAUUGUAAAGCACUUUGAACUAUGUCACCUGUAUGAAAAGUGCUCUAUAAAUACGGUAUUAUUGUAUUUUAUUUUUUCUCUGCUGAUGCUGGUAAAACCUGAGGUUCGGGCAUAGCCAAGCACGCUUAUUUUUCCAAUUGCUAGGAACUUUCGGACUACUCUAGUGGUGUUUAGUAUUGUGGCUUUCUGAAGAUUUACAUAAAUAUUGCUUUGUUAGGUAAUUGUGCACCCCUGGCACAUCUCAGGGGUGUGUGCUUAGCCCACUACUCCACUCUUUCUAUGCCCAUGACUAUGUGGCUAGGUAUAGCUCAAAUACCAUCUAGUCCAUACCAUCUAUAAAUUUGCUGAUGAUACAGCCAUUGUUGGUAGGAUCUCAGAUGGCGGUGAGAGGGAUAUACCAGCUAGCUGAGUGGUGUCGCAGCAACAACCUUGCACUCAAUGUUAGUGAGAUCAAAGAGCUGAUUGUGGACUUCAGGAAGGGUAAGACGAGGGAACACGAACCAAUCCUCAUAGAGGGAUCAGAAGUGGAGAGAGUGAACAAUUUCAAGUUCUUGGGUGACAAGAUCUCUGAGGAGCUAACCUGGUCCCAACAUAUCGAUGCAGCUAUAAAGAAGGGAAGACAGUGGCUAUAUUUCAUUAGGAGUCUGAAGAGAUCUGGUGUGUCAACUAAAACACUGAAAAACUUCUAUAAAUGUACUGUGGAGAGCAUUCUGAAAGGGUGCAUCACUGUCUGAUAUGGGUAGUGGGGGUGGGACUACUGCACAGGACCAAAAGAAGCUACAGAAGGUUAUAAAACUGGCCUCCAUAGUACCCAAGACAUCUUGAAGUAAUGGUGCCUCAGAAAGGCGGCAUCCAUCAUUAAGCAGUCCCAUCACCCAGGGCAUACCUUUUUCUCAUUGUUACCACCAGGAAGGUACAGAGGAGAUGUCAGGGGUAAGUUUUUUAUGCAGAGAGUGAUGAGUGCGUGGAAUGGGCUGCCGGCGAUGGUGGUGGAGGCGGAUACGAUAAGGUCUUUUAAGACUCCUGGAUAGGUACAUGGAGUUCAGAAAAAUAGAGGGCUAUGGGUAGCCAUAGGUAAUUUCUAAGGUAAGGACAUGUUUGGCACAGUUUUGUGGGCCAAAGGGCUUGUAUUGUGCUGUAGGCUUUCUAUGUUUCUAUGUUAGGAAGGACAUACAGAAGCCUGAAGGCACACACUCAGCGAUUCAGGAACAGCUUCUUCCCCUCUGUCAUCCAAUUCCUAAAUGGACAUUGAAUCCAUGAAUGCUACCUCACCUUUCUUUAAUAUAUAUUAUUUCUGUUUUUGCACUAUUUUUAAUCUAUUCAAUAUGCAUAUAUAUAGUUACUGUAAUUGAUUGAUUGAUUUCUGUAUUAUCAUUAAACUGCUGCUGUUGCUGCUGCUAAGUUAACAAAUUUCACGAGACAUGCCGGUGAACCUGAUUCUGAAUUGUUUAAUGUUAUUGUGUAGUCCUUUGGGAUAAUCCCAGUUGUCGGUAUUACUAUCGGGACAAUGUAUACCCUGUUCAUGCUCCAUAGCCUUUCAAUUCCCUCUUUUAACUCAGCAUAUUUCUGGUGUUUUUCACUGAUCAAUUUCCAUAGUUUGUGUGUGUUUGGGAUAGCUAUAUCUUUUAAUUCAGUUGUUCUUGCUUGUUUAUCCAGUAUUAUUAUAACCGGCCAGUUUUUUUUAUUUAUUCAUUUACGGGAUGUGGGUGU